rnacentral:rRNA from 1 species
CGGGACACGUGGUAUCCUGUCUGAAUAUGGGGGGACCAUCCUCCAAGGCUAAAUACUCCUGACUGACCGAUAGUGAACCAGUACCGUGAGGGAAAGGCGAAAAGAACCCCGGCGAGGGGAGUGAAAAAGAACCUGAAACCGUGUACGUACAAGCAGUGGGAGCACGCUUCGGCGUGUGACUGCGUACCUUUUGUAUAAUGGGUCAGCGACUUAUAUUCUGUAGCAAGGUUAACCGAAUAGGGGAGCCGAAGGGAAACCGAGUCUUAACUGGGCGUUAAGUUGCAGGGUAUAGACCCGAAACCCGGUGAUCUAGCCAUGGGCAGGUUGAAGGUUGGGUAACACUAACUGGAGGACCGAACCGACUAAUGUUGAAAAAUUAGCGGAUGACUUGUGGCUGGGGGUGAAAGGCCAAUCAAACCGGGAGAUAGCUGGUUCUCCCCGAAAGCUAUUUAGGUAGCGCCUCGUGAAUUCAUCUCCGGGGGUAGAGCACUGUUUCGGCAAGGGGGUCAUCCCGACUUACCAACCCGAUGCAAACUGCGAAUACCGGAGAAUGUUAUCACGGGAGACACACGGCGGGUGCUAACGUCCGUCGUGAAGAGGGAAACAACCCAGACCGCCAGCUAAGGUCCCAAAGUCAUGGUUAAGUGGGAAACGAUGUGGGAAGGCCCAGACAGCCAGGAUGUUGGCUUAGAAGCAGCCAUCAUUUAAAGAAAGCGUAAUAGCUCACUGGUCGAGUCGGCCUGCGCGGAAGAUGUAACGGGG